rnacentral:rRNA from 1 species
UGGGGAAUAUUGGACAAUGGGCGAAAGCCUGAUCCAGCCACGCCGCGUGUGUGAAGAAGGUCUUCGGAUUGUAAAGCACUUUAAGUUGGGAGGAAGGGCAGUAAGCGAAUACCUUGCUGUUUUGACGUUACCGACAGAAUAAGCACCGGCUAACUCUGUGCCAGCAGCCGCGGUAAUACAGAGGGUGCAAGCAUUAAUCGGAAUUACUGGGCGUAAAGCGCGCGUAGGUGGUUCGUUAAGUUGAAUGUGAAAGCCCCGGGCUCAACCUGGGAACUGCAUCCAAAACUGGCGAGCACGAGUAGGGCAGAGGGUGGUGGAAUUUCCUGUGUAGCGGUGAAAUGCGUAGAUAAAGGAAGGAACACCAGUGGCGAAGGCGACAACCUGGGUUCAUACUGCCACUGAGGUGCGAAAGCGUGGGAGCAAACAGG